AGCAGCCGCGGUAAUUCCAGCUCCAAUAGCGUAUAUUAAAGUUGCUGCAGUUAAAAAGCUCGUAGUUGAAUUUCGGGAUCAAUAUGUUGGUCGUGCCUCGGUACGUACUAGCUUAUUGGUUUCUCCCUUCUGACGAACCAUGAUGUCAUUUAUUUGGUGUUAUGAGGAAUCAGGACUGUUACUUUGAAAAAAUUAGAGUGUUUAAAGCAGGCUCACGCUUGAAUACAUUAGCAUGGAAUAAUGAAAUAGGACGUUUGAUUCUAUUUUGUUGGUUUCUAGGAUCGACGUAAUGAUUAAUAGGGAUAGUUGGGGGCAUUAGUAUUCAAUUGUCAGAGGUGAAAUUCUUGGAUUUAUUGAAGACUAACUACUGCGAAAGCAUUUGCCAAGGAUGUUUUCAUUAAUCAAGAACGAAAGUUAGGGGAUCGAAGACGAUCAGAUACCGUCGUAGUCUUAACCAUAAACUAUGCCGACUAGGGAUCGGAUGAUGUUAAUUUUUUGAAUGACUCAUUCGGCGCCUUAC
rnacentral:misc_RNA from 1 species